AUGGAGUCGGAGGUUGGCUCUGAUGUUCUGUCACCCCAGGAGCUCUCUCCCAGCUUCCCAAAAUUUUUUGGAGACAACCCAGCGAGCCAGUGCAGUGUGUCAUGCCACCAGCUGGAGGUGGAUGCUCCGAUUUCCACACAAGAUCCAGAGUGUCCUGCUGUCUCCAGACUUGUUGGAGCGAAGCAGGAUCCACUCGACUGCUCUUCUGACACGGGGAGUCCCCUCCUUGUUCUGACCAGCACUCAGGAUCUUGCUAAAAACGAGUCCAAAAUUUUGGACAGCAGCCUGCAGAGAUGGGCUGCUGGUGUUUUGGCUGGAGCUCAAGAUGGAGUGGAAGCUGACAGAGGAUCCCAGACCUCCAGUGUGGGAAGUGAGAGAAAUAAGGAGCAAGGAGGUGAUUCUUUGCUGGGGUUGGGUGUGUUGAAGGACAUCCGGGAGCUCCUGGCAAAGGCAGAGGAUUUGAGUGCCAGGUGGUGUCCUCCUGCCUUUUCCAUGGCCUCUUGUAGAGAAACUGGGGAGUCUUCCCUGGUGCUGCUGAGACAGGAGGAUGAUCCCAGAGAUCCCAGGUGGGCGAAGGACAGAACCCCUCAGUUCCAGAAGAGACCGUCAUGGGAUGAGGCUGCGACCCGGCCAAGUGUGCGAGAAGAAAGGUUGGGAAUAAACCCUUGGAAUUCUGACACGUGUAACUUAAGGUGGGAGAACCCUUUGGACGUCAACUUGCACCGCAGCGAAGGGAUGAAGGAAAUAUCCCAGGAGUUCAGGGCGGGAAAAUCGGCGGGAAGGUCGGAGCCGGAGGGUUGUAGCAGCGUCACCACGGACAGGAACCAACGUGCCCUGGUGGGCCUGGCACAGAGCAGUGCCAGCAGUGAGGGCAGCACCGGGGCAGCCUCAGAGCUGGGCAAUCCUCCUUCCUCAGAGCCCCCUGGAAGCAUCACUGAUAUCCCAGGAACCUUCCAGAGCACGUCCCAGUCUGGUGGAGCUGGAAGCAAAGCCGGCGGCGCCCGGGGGAGCGACGAGAGCAGCAGCGGAGAUUCCCUGGCUGCCCGUGUCAGGAACCUCCUGGGGAAUCCUCCCCCCUCAUCAGAGCAUCCCCCUGGCACAGGGGGAUUCCAGAGCAUCCUGAGUGGAGCUGGUGGUGCCAGGAUCAAGGGAGGAGGGCUGGGGGGCAGCGGCAGCAGCAGCAGUGGGGAUUCCCUGGCUGCCCGUGUCCGGACCCUCCUGAGGAGUGGAUCCCCUGGGAUAGAGGCAGCCCGAAUCCUCAGGAAUGCAGAGGAGCAGGAGAGGAAAAUCCGAGGUGAGAAAACGUCUCUGUUGUGUUUUAUUUAUUGUAUUUUAUUAUUAAAACGACAAAUCUUUAUUUAG
rnacentral:lncRNA from 1 species